CAUGGUUGUCGUCAGCUCGUGUCGUGAGAUGUUGGGUUAAGUCCCGCAACGAGCGCAACCCCUGUUCUCAGUAGCCAUCACGUAGAGGUGGGCACUCUGAGGAGACUGCCGGGGAUAACCCGGAGGAAGGUGGGGAUGACGUCAAAUCAUCAUGCCCCUUAUGAUUUGGGCUACACACGUGCUACAAUGGCGUAAACAAAGGGAAGCGAGCCUGCGAGGGGGAGCAAAUCCCAGAAAUAACGUCCCAGUUCGGAUUGCAGUCUGCAACUCGACUGCAUGAAGCUGGAAUCGCUAGUAAUCGCGGAUCAGAAUGCCGCGGUGAAUACGUUCCCGGGUCUUGUACACACCGCCCGUCACACCAUGGGAGUUGGUAACGCCCGAAGUCAGUGACCUAACCGAAAGGGGGGAGCUGCCUAAGGCGGGACCGAUAACUGGGGUGAAGUCGUAACAAGGUAGCCGUAUCGGAAGGUGCGGCUGGAUCACCUC
rnacentral:rRNA from 1 species